CCUACGGGUGGCAGCAGUGAGGACUAUUGGUCAAUGGACGAGAGUCUGAACCAGCCAAGUAGCGUGAAGGAUGACUGCCCUAUGGGUUGUAAACUUCUUUUAUAAAGGAAUAAAACGAGGCACGUGUGCUUUUUUGUAUGUACUUUAUGAAUAAGGAUCGGCUAACUCCGUGCCAGCAGCCGCGGUAAUACGGAGGAUCCGGGCGUUAUCCGGAUUUAUUGGGUUUAAAGGGAGCGUAGAUGGGUUGUUAAGUCAGUUGUGAAAGUUUGCGGCUCAACCGUAGAAUUGCAAUGGAUACUGGCAGGCUUGAGUACAGUUGAGGUAGGCGGAAUUCGUGGUGUAGCGGUGAAAUGCUUAGAUAUCACGAAGAACCCCGAUUGCGAAGGCAGCUUACUAAACUGUGACUGACAUUGAUGCUCGAAGGUGUGGGUAUCAAACAGGAUUAGAUACCCUAGUAGUC
rnacentral:rRNA from 1 species